AAUCCAAACUGUUUUAGCUUCGGCAGGUUAAGGUUUAUCUUUUAUCUUCUCUUUACCAGAAAAGUAUAAUUUGAAAUAAUUGAUACAAACGUAAGGAUACAACCUUAAGAUAUAAAGCGACUGGUCUUGGAAUACAAAUAUCUAAAUGCAAUUACGGAAGUUCAUUGAAGUUGAGCUACCAAAAUCGCCGACACAAACAGGCAACAAUUAAGGGCAAACCCUUAAGGGGGUUAUCCCGUGUGAAGGCCGUUUUUUGCCUUUUUUGGAAAAAUUAUUUUGGAGGACUGGAUAAAGAUAGAAACCUUGAUAUCGUAGCUAGUUUUCGGAACACGUGUCAAUUUAUGCACCCA